rnacentral:rRNA from 1 species
UACGUAGGGGCCGAGCGUUGUCCGGAGUUACUGGGCGUAAAGCGUGCGCAGGCGGCGCGUUCUGCCCGGCGUGAAAGCCCCCGGCUCAACCGGGGAACGUCGUCGGGGACGGGCGCGCUUGAGGGCGGCAGGGGCUGGUGGAAUUCCCGGUGUAGUGGUGAAAUGCGUAGAGAUCGGGAGGAACACCUGUGGCGAAGGCGGCCAGCUGGGCCGGCCCUGACGCUGAGGCACGAAGGCGUGGGGAGCGAAC